AAGGGCGCAUGGCGGAUGCCUAGGCGUUGAGAGGCGAAGAAGGACGUGGUAAGCUGCGAUAAGCUUCGGGUAGCUGCAUACAAGCGUUAAUCCGGAGAUUUCCGAAUGGGACAACCUGGUACACUGAAGGUGUAUCACUCGAAAGAGAGCCA
rnacentral:rRNA from 1 species